AUGUAGUUUUGAAAAUGUUAAUGCACCAGAUCCCACUAGAAAUCCAUAAUUAAGCAUUCUUGGGAUAUAUUAGUACUAGGAUGGGUGACCUCUGGGGAAGUCCUAGUGUUUUAUAUG
rnacentral:rRNA from 1 species